rnacentral:rRNA from 1 species
GAUGAACGCUAGCGGCAGGCUUAACACAUGCAAGUCGAGGGGCAGCGGGAUGUAGCAAUACAUUGCCGGCGACCGGCGCAAGGGUGCGUAACGCGUGAGCAACAUGCCCGUCACAGGAGGAUAAACCAUGGAAACGUGGCCUAAUACUCCAUAGUAUGUUUUGGAGGCAUCUCCAGGACAUUAAAGCUUCGGUGGUGACGGAUUGGCUCGCGUGACAUUAGCUAGAUGGAGAGGUAACGGCUCACCAUGGCGACGAUGUCUAGGGGUUCUGAGAGGAAGGUCCCCCACACUGGAACUGAG